UCCGAGCCAGAUCGCCGUUUCCAUCGCUGCAGAUAAGCCUAAGAAACCUGCACCUGUUUCCGCCGUCUCUGCUAAGUCAUCUGCUCCGUCGAGGCAACUUGCUCAACCUGGUGAGAUUCGCUUAACACGAUUAGCAAGUUAUUAAACUUUUGUGUCUAUUUGAUUCCAUUCGUGGUAUCUGAUUGUUUUUUAAUGAUGUUGAUUAGUGAGAGAGGCUAGGAGUGAUGCUCCACGUGGCGGUGGACGUGGUGGUGGAGACGGUGGAUUUAGCCGUGGUCGUGGUGGUUACAACCGUGAUUUUAGAGGCGGUGAUGGUAACAGUAAGCCCUCUGAGGAAGCAGGCGUUUCAAAGCCUCUCUAUAAGAAACGUAGUGUAUAUGGCGGUGCUCGUCGUGGUGGUGGUCGACGUGGUGAAGCUGGUGACGGUGAACGUCCUCGAAGGACAUUCGAGCGUCAUAGUGGAACUGACAGAGAGUCUAUCCUAACCUCAUUCAAUUUUUGUUGUUGUUGUUGCAUUAAUCUUUUAAGGUUAAGCUUUAAGUUUUGGUGAAGGGGUGACAUCAAAAGCGAAGAAGCUGGUUGUGGAAAUUGGGGAACACCAGGAGAAGAAGUUGUUGUUGUGGAGACUGAAGAAGUUGCUGGUGUUGAGACUGAGAAGCCUGCUGGUGAUGAGGUUGCUGCUGAUGUUAACAAGGAGAACACUGCUGAAGUGGAGGAGCAGAAAGAGUCUGAAGAUAAGGUAAGCAGAUGAGUUAAGAGAGAUGUUAGGUUGCUAGAUUAGGACAUGGAACUGAACUUACUCUUGUCUCGGCUUUUUUCUUUAUUAUCCUUCAAUGCUUAUUGGCUUGUGGUUUGGUAGGAAAUGACUCUGGAUGAGUAUGAGAAAAAUACUUGAGGAGAAGAGAAAAGCCCUUCAGUCUCAGAACACCUCUGAAAGGAAAGUUGAUACUAAAGUGUUUGAAUCAAUGCAAAAACUCUCAAACAAGAAGAAGUCUCGAUGAAAUCUUCAUCAAGUUGGUAAGACAUAUUACCUCCCUGUCUUGUCGACUAGAAACACUCUUAACCGGUUCCGAACCUUGCAUUUGAUCUAUCUCCCAGGGUUCUGAUAAGGACAAACGCAAAGAUGACAAAGAAGAGAAGGCUAAGAAGGUUUACAUUGUUGUCUGAAUGAAAGAGUUUGUAAAAGUCAAUAAGUUUGCUUAUGGAUGUGUUAUGUGGUUUACAGGCUGUGAACAUCAACGAGUUUUUGAAACCAGGUGAGGGUGAGAACUACUACCGAGGAGGAGGUCGUGGUGGUCGUGGAAGGGGACGUGGUGGUCGUGACGGGGAAGGUGCUUCUGGUGGUGGAUUUGAUGGUUACCGUAGUGAAGCUGCGCUUGCCAUUGGAGAUACUGCUCAGUUCCCAUCUCUUGGGGGCAAGUAGGAUCCAUCCUUGGAAACUUGUGCUGUCUCCUUCAGUUUUCCUCAUCAAUACUGAAGUGUUUCAUGCUGAGUGUUUGCCGGUCUGUUGUUGUCAAGUGUAAAGUGUUAGUUGUCGUCAGUUUUUAGAGUUUCUGCAAACUUAUGCAUGACCUGUCUUUUUUUUUAACGUUUGAAACAAUACCCUUUUCUAUUUUGGUUUACCACUUAGUCUUUAUAGUUGUUUGUUGUCUUCUCAAUAUGCCUUUUUUUCACUCAACUCAUCGUCUCCCAUCUCUCUUGAUUUCUUAUAUACUGAUUACGUCAAAAUCUCAAGCGAUCAUAACCAAAAUCAGAUGAACCACUAUAAAAAACGAGCCCCCAAAAGAGAUACCAACAUCUGGUUGUUUCAUUCUGUCCAUCUCCACGUUGAUGUUAUUAUCUCUCUGUUCUAAAAUGAUUACCGAUGCGGUGAUGCUAUUUCUGACCGAUGCGAUUUGACGAUAUUCGCCCUUGCCAAAUUUCAAAGGAGAUUAGUGGUCGUCAGCUCCGUUUCUGAGAUUCACGUAACAUCAUGGGUAUCAUCCUCUUACUUUAAGAUGAGAAGGUAUGAACAUCAUGACCCUCGCACCAACUCAUUAAUUCAUUACCAUAUUCUUAGCUUUGAAAUAAAUCGUUUUUAUCUUAGACAUGGCGAAUUCAUGGGCUUUCUACUUUGAUUCUUGAUCAUGAAAAGUUAUUUCAGUAUAUAUACUUAAAAAUAUGUAACCUUCUGUUUAGAAUAUGUGACUAAUAACGUCUUCACUCAUUGUCCACAUCAUAUUGUAAUCCAUGGCUUCAUUUCAGCCUGACUUUUUUUUGUCUAUCACAAAUCAUUUUCAACAAAGUCCAGUAAAAACUAUAAAAAUAAAUAAUUUUGUAAUUAUAUAAUUUUAUAAAUUUCUAGAGUUAUUAAUUUAAUAAAAAAAACUGUAUACUACAAUUCUAUAUUUUUGAAGUUAAUUUUGGAUAAAAUAAAUAAAAAAAAAUUUAUUGUUCGUAUAAAUUGUUAAAUUUUUAAAUCCGAUUAUUAUACCUUUUAUUACGCUAUUUGAUUUAUAUACUAACAACUACCUAAGUAAACACUAACCAAUCCCUUAAAUUUCAGCUUUUGAACAUGGAAGCGCUAAUAAUGUUAAUGUCCAUCAAAUCAUUACGAAGAUAAGAUAAUAAAAUAUUAACAAAUAUGAAUUCACCGGUCAUUCUUAUAUCACCUUAAUCAAAUUGUGUGAUAUCCGAUGUUCCAUUUAUCACCAUAAUAAACAACACGGAAAAUCAAAAGUUAAAAAAAAAACGACAACAACCCAUACACAACACUACACAACUCAUUAAACAAUGUAUCCGGCUCCGCGCUUGCGCGGGGGCUAUGCCCCUAGUUUAUUAUGUGUUUCAUUCAAUUCAAAUCAUGCUUAAAGGUUAUAUUGUUCUCCUGCUAUAGCUCAAUCGCCUCUUAAAAUUUAGUCAUCUUAAUUUUCAAUGUAUGUUUCUCAGUAAAAAGAUAUCUUCUUAAAGUAAUCAUUGAUCAUGGUUUUACUGCAGAAUACACACAUUCGCUCACAAUAAUCUUGUUCCCACAUUAUCACGAUUUGAAGGAAAAUGUUCAUUUCAUGAUUCUCAUCAUCAUCGACAUAUUUGGCAAUGGAAUUUUCCUCAAACAUAUCUUCAUCAUCUUUAUCGUAACUAGGGUGUUGAAUAAUGUGUACAUGAUAAGGUUUCACACACACACACAUAUAAGAUAUAUAUCUUUUUUAAAGUCUGACAGCUUUUUGAUGCAUCAUCAUCGAUCGGGUUUUAGAGGGAUUUCACCGUUGAUCGUGAAUCGUGAUUGAGUUCUUCUUUAUAUGCUGUUUUGCAUUUUCAUCGUGGGGUUUUAUUAGACUUGAGUUUUUUCACUUUAUUUUAAAUUUUCCUUGUUUGUAGAUUUAAUUAUGUUAAAUUUUAUCUAAAACUAUUUAGAACUUAUCAAAAUGAUUACUAAUUUGAAAGUUACAUUAAACAUAUAUACAAGUUAGUAUUGAAAAUUUAAAUAUGAUAGAUCUUGUAUAAAAUUAUUUAGAACUUAUCCAAAAAAUUCCUAAUUCAUAUAGGAAACUUAUCUCCAAUGGUUAGAUAGUAUACCCAAAAGAUAGUAUACCUAAUCUGUCACAUAUUGGAUAUACUAUCUUUUGUUUUUUGAUCAAAUAUUGGGUAUACUAUCUAACUAUUGGAGAUAAGUUUCCUUUAUGAAUUAGGAAUCUUUUGGAUAAAUUCUAACUAGUAUAAUAUAAUAUAUAUAUCACAAUUCAUAUAUAAAUAAUACACGUUUACCAAUGAAACAAUCACUUUCUAUACAGAAGAAAAAUCCUCAAAGACAUGGAGAACACAAAAAUGGUCAUAUUGGUAGCGAUGAUGCUAAUGAUUGGAAACCAUCUUACUGUAUCGGUGUACGCGGAUAAUCCAAUAACGCGUGCAGCAUGCUAUUUUAAAUGUAAUGAACUGUGUCUUAUUGAUCCACGUUAUCUUCUAAACUCAGAAAAAUGUGCCAAAAAAUGUGUUAAGGAAUGUCAUCUAACUGGUUAUGUAAAACAAGACACAAUCAACCAAAUUGACUAUUUCUGCCAAGUGGGUUGUGUUAAUCAUCGUUGUGCUCUUACUGAAAAUCAGAAUAUGGAGAAAGAUGCGGUCUGUGUGAAUUCAUGUUCAGAAAUUUGUAAUAAAAAGAACUAAAAGCGAUAGAAUAUGUUAUAUUAAUAACAAUUUAAUGUUUAAUGAAGAUAGUAUGAAUCAAAUCAAUUUAAUAUACAAU